rnacentral:rRNA from 1 species
GAUGAACGCUAGCGAUAGGCUUAACACAUGCAAGUCGAGGGGCAGCAUUAUUUUAGCUUGCUAAGAUAGAUGGCGACCGGCGCACGGGUGCGUAACGCGUAUGCAACCUGCCUGUAAUUAGGGAAUAACCCGGUGAAAGUCGGACUAAUACCCUAUAUUCUUCUUUCUCCGCAUGGGGGAGGACGGAAAGAUUUAUUGAUUACANNUGGGCAUGCGUCCCAUUAGCUGGUUGGUAAGGUAACGGCUUACCAAGGCAACGAUGGGUAGGGGGACUGAGAGGUUGACCCCCCACACUGGUACUGAGACACGGACCAGACUCCUACGGGAGGCAGCAGUGAGGAAUAUUGGUCAAUGGGCGAGAGCCUGAACCAGCCAAGUCGCGUGAAGGACGACGGUUCUAUGGAUUGUAAACUUCUUUUGUAGAGGAAUAAUGGCAGCUACGUGUAGCUGAGAUGCAUGUACUCUACGAAUAAGUAUCGGCUAACUCCGUG